AGUGAACGCUGGCGGUAGGCCUAACACAUGCAAGUCGAACGGCAGCACAGUAAGAGCUUGCUCUUUCUGGUGGCGAGUGGCGGACUGGUUCGGAAUACAUCGGAAUCUACUUUUUCGUGGGGGAUAACGUAGGGAAACUUACGCUAAUACCGCAUACGACCUACGGGUGAAAGCAGGGGAUCUUCGGACCUUGCGCGAUUGAAUGAGCCGAUGUCGGAUUAGCUAGUUGGCGGGGUAAAGGCCCACCAAGGCGACGAUCCGUAGCUGGUCUGAGAGGAUGAUCAGCCACACUGGAACUGAGACACGGUCCAGACUCCUACGGGAGGCAGCAGUGGGGAAUAUUGGACAAUGGGCGCAAGCCUGAUCCAGCAAUACCGCGUGGGUGAAGAAGGCCUUCGGGUUGUAAAGCCCUUUUGUUGGGAAAGAAAAGCAGCAGGUUAAUACCCCGCUGUUCUGACGGUACCGAAAGAAUAAGCACCGGCUAACUUCGUG
rnacentral:rRNA from 1 species